GUGCUCACUUCAGCAUCACCUAUACUAAAAUCAGAAUGAUGUAAAAAGAUUAGUAUGGUCCCUGAACAAAGAUGACACAUAAAUUUGUGAAGUGUUCCGUAGUUUU